rnacentral:rRNA from 1 species
GACGAACGCUGGCGGCGUGCCUAAUACAUGCAAGUCGAACGAAGCUUUUUUAACUGGUGCUUGCACCGACUUAAACAACUGAGUGGCGAACGGGUGAGUAACACGUGGGUAACCUGCCCCAAAGCGGGGGAUAACAUUUGGAAACAGGUGCUAAUACCGCAUAACCACAGAAACCACAUGGUUUCUGUGUCAAAGAUGGUUUCGGCUAUCACUUUGGGAUGGACCCGCGGCGUAUUAGCUAGUUGGUAAGGUAAUGGCUUGCCAAGGCAAUGAUACGUAGCCGAACUGAGAGGUUGAACGGCCACAUUGGGACUGAGACACGGCCCAAACUCCUACGGGAGGCAGCAGUAGGGAAUCUUCCACAAUGGACGAAAGUCUGAUGGAGCAACGCCGCGUGAGUGAAGAAGGUUUUCGGAUCGUAAAACUCAGUUGUCAGAGAAGAACGUGUGCGAGAGUAACUGUUCGUGCAGUGACGGUAUCUGGCCAGAAAGCCACGGCUAACUACGUGCCAGCCGCCGCAGUAA